CACGUAGGGACCAAGCGUUGUCCGGAUUCAUUGGGCGUAAAGAGCUCGUAGGCGGCUCAGUAAGUCGGGUGUGAAACCUCCAGGCUCAACCUGGAGACGCCGCCCGAUACUGCUGUGGCUAGAGUCCAGUAGGGGAGCGUGGAAUUCCUGGUGUAGCGGUGAAAUGCGCAGAUAUCAGGAGGAACACCAGCGGCGAAGGCGGCGCUCUGGGCUGGAACUGACGCUGAGGAGCGAAAGCGUGGGAGCGAACAGG
rnacentral:rRNA from 1 species